rnacentral:lncRNA from 1 species
AGAGUGAGUAAAACCCCCCUUCUAAAGAAAGCCUCCAUCCUGCUUCACAUUCAAGGGGCUUCUAGGCCAUUUGCACUUCGUUUACACCUCAUUAAACUGCCCACAUUAUAUGCCUGGGUCCCAGGUGACUGUGGGAAAAGAUCAAGGUUUCCUGCAACCUCACUGGGCAUUUUCAGAAUGAUCUGUACAAGCGUUGACUGAAUGAUUGAUUCCAAGUUCCCCCUUCCUAGGAUUUCAGACCUCCUCUUGACAAGUGAUGAAUGGGCCAUCUUAAUCUUGUUUGGAUCAGAAAGGACCAUACAAUUGAGCUUUAGACAAGACUAAAAAUAUCAAAAGUAGCACUCUGCAAUUUUAUGUGCAUGUGGCUUGAAGCUCUGACAACAACACAAAAGCCAGGCCAUUGCAUUGUGAUCCAGGCUCAGUCUUCGUUCUGCUUCGUGGCAUCACAGUCCCUUAUUUGAAACUGAACCAGGACUGCAGUCUUCGACUUUGACAUCAAAUUUGACACCUCAGUGGCCCAAGCUUUCAGAAACUUGGAAUUGCAGACAUUAUGGAUUUGGACCUGCCCUCAGAAGAGCUACCUACUGAAAUAUUUACAAGUGAAAUGAUGUGAGAUGUGGGAUUUGAUUCAAAAUGAUCCUUUAUGUAUGAAGAGUGGGGCGUGGAGAAUGCAUGAAGAUACAGAUAAAAUAAACGUGUCUAUGGGUUAAUACAUGCU